UACGUAGGGGGCGAGCGUUGCUCGGAAUGACUGGGCGUAAAGGGCGCGUAGGCGGAUGGCUUUGUCGGGCGUGAAAUUCCAGGGCUUAACCUUGGGGCUGCGUUCGAGACGGGUUGUCUUGAGUGGGGAAGAGGGUCGUGGAAUUCCCAGUGUAGAGGUGAAAUUCGUAGAUAUUGGGAAGAACACCGGUGGCGAAGGCGGCGACCUGGUCCUUUACUGACGCUGAGGCGCGAAAGCGUGGGGAGCAAACAGG
rnacentral:rRNA from 1 species